GCCCCAGUGGCGUAGUCGGUUAGCGCGUUGUGCUUAUAACGCAAAGGUCGGGAGUUCGAGCCUCCCCUGGGGCA